AAGAGAUUUUUACCUUCCAUCACAGUGAGGAGGAGACUCACUGUGAUGGAUGUCUGUGUGAAUUGAGUUGGUUGUGUGUCUUGUAUAAUUGUUUCUUUUUGUUGUAUGGCUGCAGAAACCCAAGUUCCUAACGGAAAAAUAAAAUUCAUUGUAUUGU